rnacentral:rRNA from 1 species
UACGUAGGGACCGAGCGUUGUCCGGAAUCAUUGGGCGUAAAGAGCGUGUAGGCGGCUAUUUAAGUCCUGCGUGAAAUCCUGCGGCUCAACCGCAGACGGUCGUGGGAAACUGGAUGGCUAGAGUCCGGAAGAGGAGAGUGGAAUUCCUGGUGUAGCGGUGAAAUGCGCAGAUAUCAGGAAGAACACCCGUGGCGAAGGCGGCUCUCUGGGGACGGUACUGACGCUGAGACGCGAAAAGCGUGGGG